CAGCAGCCACGGGAAUACGUAGGGUGCGAGCGUUAAUCGGAAUUACUGGGCGUAAAGCGUGCGCAGGCGGUUUUGUAAGACAGGCGUGAAAUCCCCGGGCUCAACCUGGGAAUGGCACUUGUGACUGUAGAGCUGGAGUACGGCAGAGGGGGAUGGAACUCCGCGUGUAGCAGUGAAAUGCGUAGAUAUGCGGAGGAACACCGAUGGCGAAGGCAAUCCCCUGGGCCUGUACUGACGCUCAUGCACGAAAGCGUGGGGAGCAAACAGGAUUAGAUACCCGCGUAGUCCCUGUCUCUUAUAC
rnacentral:rRNA from 1 species